UGCGCCUCGAAGAUCCCCGACGCCCAGGCGGCCUACGAGUCGGCGGCCACGCUGAUCCCGACCGUGCUGGCCGGGGUCAACUUCGUCCUCCACGCCG
rfam:Chloroflexi bacterium CSP1-4 XT10_C0003, whole genome shotgun sequence.